GUCUUCGUGGUGUAGAGGUUAGCACACUCGGCGUGUAUUCAAGAGGUCCGUGGUUCGAGUCCCGGCGGGGGCG
rfam:Stegodyphus mimosarum contig48697, whole genome shotgun sequence.